rnacentral:tRNA from 1 species
UCCCUGGUGGUCCAGUGGUUAAGAUUCUGGGCUUCCAAUCCAGCGGGUGUAGGUUUGAUCCCUGAGCCGGGAA